rnacentral:rRNA from 1 species
CGGGAAAAGCUCAAAUUUAAAAUCUGGCGGUCCCUGUGGCCGUCCGAGUUGUAAUUUAGAGAAGUGUUAUCCGUGCUGGACCGUGUACAAGUCUCCUGGAAUGGAGCGUCAUAGAGGGUGAGAAUCCCGUCCUUGACAUGGACUCCCAGUACUUUGUGUUGUGCUCUC